rnacentral:lncRNA from 1 species
AUACUUCAAUAAUGUUUUUUUGCAAUUUGCCUAUUAUUAGGUCCAUGUCUAGUAUCCAAUUGUUAUAUAUAUAUAUAUAAAGCAUACAUAAUAUAACUAGAGAUAUAUAUUUUAUUUAUUUCACGAAAUUAAGUCGUGAUUUAUUAUUACAAUAGAAAUUGAGAAUUGGAUGAAAUUUAUCACACCCAAAACCCAACCUCUUGACAUCUUUCACAUUCAUCAAUCAUAAACUUUCUUGAACAUAACCGGAAAUGGCGUAUCGCUCAAAACAAGACCUUUUAUUCCAUUGUUCUCAAAUAUACCAAUAUCUUUGCACAUUACUUUGCAAUUCUUACACACCACUCUUGGACAAUACACCAACUUAGUAACCUUCCCAUAUUGCUCUAUUUUGAACCAGUUUUCCGUAGUCUCUCACCCCGGAUUCUCUUUCGUUCCGCCAAUUGUUACGAAAUAUUGCCUCAAAUAUUGAUCAAAUGUUCCUAAUCUCCACACCGUCGAUUUCACACACCUUGUAGUCGCAUCAAACUCGAUGUUCAAAUCGGUGGAGACUCAAACCACACCCUUUUUAAGGUUUAUUGGUAAAAAUGUAGUGGAAAAACCAUCGGGUUGUUCGUAACACUCCUAGACGACGUUGACACCACAUCUAUCGUAUUCUUUUCGGAUAUUCCCGAUGGCGAAACUUCCACCACCAACACUGCCUUGAAUUGCUGGGAGGAUGUAGUAUUUGUUGCUGAUUCUGAGCUUCUUUCCAUCGGUGUCGAGGACGGGAUCUGGUGACGCAUCAGCUCCGCAGAAGCGUACCUCAGAUGAGGCAAUGACAAUGGCAAUGAAAAGACAAGUGAGUAAUGCAAAAUGCAUAUUUGAUACAUUAAUGUUUUUGACACAAAACAAGUUUUUGACUGAGGGCCAAUAAAAUUUCAAUUAAUUUGCGAUCAAAACAUUUUUGAGUCAAUCAUGUUCGUCAGAUUCCUUAUUAGAGAUAAAUUUUUAAAAGAGAAAAAAAGAAAAGUCAAGCUUUGUUUUUAGAGUACAAAUUAAAAAUCAAAGAUUUGAAAUAAAAGUAUAUAUAUAUAGACGUGAGUUAAACUGAUGUUAAAAUAUAUCAAACUUUUCAAUUUUUGUGCAGCAUAAUUAUAUUAAUAUAUAUGGAUUUUUAUGUAUUAACCCUUUUUAAAGUUUAGGUUCAUUUAAAAUAACUUUUUUCUUAAAAAAAAAGUCGAAGGUCCAAUGUGUUCUGGAAAUUAAAAAUUGUAAAAGUGAAUACUUUAAAAUAAAAAUAAAAUAUUUUUCCUUAUUUCAAAAUAUUUUAGAGACAAACUAAUUGCCUUCAUGUGAUUGCAUUUACUACUCUUUUAGCUUUGCACAUGAUGUAUGUACUUGACUUUUCUUUUUCUCUUUAUUAUAUAUAUAUAUAUAUAUAUAUAUAUAUAUAUAUAUAUAUAUAUAUAUUAAAAAUAAUUAUAAUUGACGGUAAUAUAAUAAAGCAUAUAGUAACAUUUUAAAAAAAAUUGAAAAUAUAACAAAAUCUAUCUGCUAUAAAUUUCUAUUAUCGAUAGACUUUAUCGGUGAUCUAUUAGUCAAGACAAAUUAUUUUAUAUUUACAAAUUUUUUAAAAUGUUGUUAUUUAUUUAGUUAUUUUGAAUCUAAUUCUUUUAUUUGCAAUAAUUUUUGCAGGUUUUAAAUAAGUUAUAUUUUCAUCCAAGAUAAAUUAACAAAAACUCAACUGAUUGAUUAAGAUAUUAUACAAGGUUUUUUUAAAAAAUAAUAAAAAGAUAAAUAUUUACACUCUAUCGAACAAAAAAAAUACUAAAAAGACCAAAAAAAAUCGUUACUCUUGAUUUUUUUAUGAAGUCUAAACAUUUUGUCAAUUUUAGACAUUGGUGGGAUUCUAACGGUGUCCAUCAUAGUAACAUCGUAAGACGUUGAUAAAUCUAAAAUUUUGUUAUAUUUUGUAAAUAUUUUCAACACUUUUGUCAUUUACAAUAAUUCUCUAUUCUUAAUAAAGCUAUAAAUAGUCUUACAUUCUUUAAACAAGGAUAGUGUUAUUUUAAAUUAAGGUUUAAAAUGUUGAUGUCGAAGAAAAUAUCGAGAUCUUAAUUUUAUGAAAAAACUAUAAAUUUAUUGUAAAAAUAUCCAUUACAAUGGAUAGUAUGAAAAUUUAUUAAAAUAAUCCAAUAAACAAUCAAUUUAAAUUAGCCAGAUAAAUAUUUAAGGAUUUCUUAAUAAUAUAUAACUACUAUUUAUAUUAGUGCUAAUUUGAUUAUUAUUUUAUAUUUUUCUACAAUACAAUGACAACAUCAAUUUUUUAUAUAUAUAUUAGUGUGGAAUUCAUAUCAACAUUUUACUGUAUUUUUGUAAAUAACAAAGAUUCAAUUUUUACUAUUUAUAACAAAUUUUCAAUAAAAUAACGAAACUUUUAUUGCAAUAAAGAUGAUUACAACAAUUUAUUUAUUAUUACAUUGGAUAUAGAGAGAGAAAAUUUAGUCAUUAAUUUCCCUCUCAUCAUGACCAUCACUAUCAGCUUCAAAUUCAAACUUUCUUGAACAUAACAGGGAAUGGAGCAUCAUUCAAAGCAAUAACCCUCCUUCCAUUCUUGUAAAAUAAUCCCACAUCUUUGCACACUACUUUGCAAUACUUACAAACUGUUGGACAAUACACCAACUUAUAAUUCUUACCAUACUUCUCCACUUUGAACCAAUUUUCUAUUGUUUCCCGCCCCGGAUUCCCUUUCAUUCCCCCCAUCGUCACAAAAUACUGCUUCAAGUAUUCAUCAAACUUACCUACUUUCCAUACCGUCGAUAUUCCGCACCUCGUGUUCGCCUCGAAUUGGAUGUUCAAAUCUGUAGAAACUCGGACCACACCCUUUUUAGGGUUUAUGGGGGAAAACGUCGCCGGUAGACCGUGUAAAUAAUCGUAUGAUUCCGGGAGGAUGUUGAUGGGACAUUUUUCGUAUCCGUAGAUACCGCCGAUGCUUAAUCCACCACUGUUUCUGCUGUAAACUGAAAGAAUAUAAUAUUGAUCACCGGCUCGAAGCUUCUUUCCGUCGGUGUCGAGGACCGCAUCGGGGGAGGCAUCCGCUCUGCAGAAGCGUACCUCAGAUGAGGCAAUGACAAUGAAAAGAAAACACAGUAAUGCAAAGUUUCUCAUUUCUUUUGGUGAUUUUGUUUCUUAUGUAGAUGAUGAUAUUGGAAUUGAAAAAGAAGUCUAUUUAUAGGAAAUUAUAGAGAAAGAGAGAUUGAAAUUGCUCACUGUAUUGUUUCUCAUUGUAUUGCUUUCCCGGCGGGCGCCAAGCCGCCAACAGGCUGUGUUUUUUCACUUAUAUUAAACAUAUAAUAUAAUGAAAUAAUUAGACCUUUCUAUGGUUAAAAACUAUCAACUUUUCAAUACAUGAAUUUAGAUUUGUUUCCAUUGGUUUCAUGAGAAUUGAAUAUGUUAUUAUAGUUUAAUUAGUGGAUAGAUUUUUUUAGUUUGAAUUAUAAUAACAUGUGUUAUUUGUAGUUUAUGUUUUUAUAAUGAAUAUAUAUUUUUAUUAUUUUAAUAUUUUGUUAUAAAUGCAAAUAUUUAGUAUACGUACAUCUAUCAAACGUGGACCAAGUGUAUAUCACAUGUAUCAAGUUAUCAAAUAUAUAAAAGUGAAAUCAAUAGUGUCAAGUGUAUCAAAAAUGUAUUGGUGAUAUAUGAAAUGUAUAUGAGGUGUAUUAAGUAGGUUGAUUAUUAUUUUUAUUUUUUUUUGCCCUUUUUGCUUAGGUAAAUAAGUAUGUACUAUAGACCUAAUUUUGUAAACUUAUUCUGUCUGACAUGAUUGCAGCUGAAUAAUUGGGUAAGAUCACUGGCAAUUUUGCACAUUUCACCAAUCAAGAUACUAUACAAAACAAUGGAAAUAGAGAAAUCAAACAACUCUCAUUUGAUUAGCCCUAUGAAAACUUGUUCAAAAAAAUUGCCAUGGAAAGAAUUUUCCAAGUCUCCAUGGUUUCAUAAAUACUCUAGUAGAGACCAAAUUCCAACUUUUUUCCAAACCAUAAGGACCAAAAUCAAUUUAACUGUAAAAAUAUAAGAGACUCAAGACAAUAUGUUACGUGGAGACCCCAUUUUGGGAACUUCUCAAAUGCGAGCUGUUUUCGCCACAACCGAUUCCAAGUCUUCCUUUGUGUUGAUGCUGCAGCAAGUGACACUGUUGUUAGCAUGUAUACACAAAUGCAUUCAAGGAGUCACAUCUAGUUAUAUUUCUAUUGAGAAUGUCAGUCACUAAAGCUAAUAUUUCAUAGUCGAUUAUUGAAAAAAAAAAAUUAUAAAUGAACUUCCACAAAUAUUUAACCUCAGAUACUUUUUUAAAAAAGGCCUGUAGAGGACACUUGAAUCACUCACCUAAAAGUAACAUCCCCACUAAUUGUCAAUUUCUUGGAGAUCCAAUUCGGAACCAACUUUUCGAGCUGCUCGAUUCUCUCUUCCACUUCUCCUGCAAGCAAUCAAGUACGUCAAACAAAAAUUCAUAUCAAAUUAGGAUUAAUUACUUAAAAAACCCAUACAUACUUCUCUCAGUAAUAUCAAGGCAAUUCAUUAUAAUCUUGUGCACGAGCUCCUCCUUGGUAAUUGAAGAGCAAUUCACAGACUUGAAAAUGUUGUAGACAACACAAACAAGUUCAGGCAAGCAAGAAGAUGAUUCUUGACUAAUUACUUCUUUACUGGUAUAAUUCUUCUUUUGGAUAUGCUCGUCGAGAAAGUUCUUCUUUCCAGGGAUUUCAUAGCAUUGCAAACCAUCCACACCUAGACUCGACUUGCCAUUAUCACUUUCCAUGCCAGAAAAGUUGAGAAACCUUUUUGCAGGUUUACAUACACUUCCUACACUUGCAGGUUUCCUUGUUUUCACCUCUGAACUUGGCAGCAUUGAUCUCUUUGGUGUUAACUGUACCGGUGUUUGUGUCAUUAUGCUGCUAGAAGCAGAAGACAUGACAGACUUAACAAGAGGACUGUCCGAAGAAUUAGCAGUAGCAACUUGAGGAGAGAUCGUCGGAAUAUCUUCAAGCAACUUAGCUGGAAUGGAUGGUGAAACAACAAUAGAAGAUGCAACUAGUUCUGAUAUCUCUAUGCU